rnacentral:misc_RNA from 1 species
AAGUCGUAACAAGGUUUCCGUAGGUGAACCUGCGGAAGGAUCAUUACAACGUAUCCACGUACCAAACUCUCGCACUGUUCCCAACGGAGUAAAACACUUGUGGAUGAAGUUAAUGGCUGACUGCCUUUUGCUGAUGGAGUCCGCUGACUUUUGUCAGAGGGCUGAAAGGCUUUCGGUCGCCAAGAGGCAGUUUGUCUCUGGGACUUCGUUUGCUCCGUUGCGGUUUUACCUACCGUCAGCGUCGUUUUACUACUAUUAACCCUUUGAAUUUCUGAACUGAACUUGAAAGCCUCGCGGCAGUCCUUGCUGGCCUCGGUCACGGACAUUGCCGUUUGGUUUUUCUGAUUUACGAAACAAAGAACAACUCUUAGCAACGGAUAUCUUGGUUCUC